CUCACACACACUAAACACACACACAACUCACACAUAUCUCCAUUGUUGAGGAGUUGGAGCUUUUGAGCUCCGUUUUGAGCGAGAAGACGAGCCCCGAUCAUCUUUUCGAUCACGUAUCUAAGUAGGUCCUUUUGGGAAGUAACGACUUGAGGGAGAGAGUGACGUUACUCAUUGAUACAGAGACACAACGAGGUUGAGCUGAUGUGAUGAUGGUGCUGCAAUGAGCGGAGUCUCCAGGGUUGUUAAUAAAUAGUUAACCUGUCUAGAACAUGUCUUCAUACAUAUGUCUAGCUACUUUCCGC